UACGGAGGGUGCAAGCGUUAUCCGGAUUCACUGGGUUUAAAGGGAGCGCAGGCGGAUUUGUAAGUCAGUGGUGAAAGGCUUAAGCUUAACUUGGGAACUGCCAUUGAUACUGCGGUGCUUGAGGACUGGAGAGGAGACUGGAAUUUACGGUGUAGCAGUGAAAUGCGUAGAGAUCGUAAGGAAGACCAGUGGCGAAGGCGGGUCUCUGGACAGUUCCUGACACUGAGGCACGAAGGCCAGGGGAGCAAACGGG
rnacentral:rRNA from 1 species